GACGAACGCUGGCGGCGUGCUUAACACAUGCAAGUCGAACGGAAAGGCCCUGCUUUUGUGGGGUGCUCGAGUGGCGAACGGGUGAGUAACACGUGAGUAACCUGCCCUUUACUUUGGGAUAACUUCAGGAAACUGGGGCUAAUACCGGAUAGGAUCUCCUGCUGCAUGGUGGGGGUUGGAAAGUUUCGGCGGUUGGGGAUGGACUCGCGGCUUAUCAGCUUGUUGGUGGGGUAGUGGCUUACCAAGGCUUUGACGGGUAGCCGGCCUGAGAGGGUGACCGGCCACAUUGGGACUGAGAUACGGCCCAGACUCCUACGGGAGGCAGCAGUGGGGAAUAUUGCACAAUGGGCGGAAGCCUGAUGCAGCAACGCCGCGUGCGGGAUGACGGCCUUCGGGUUGUAAACCGCUUUCGCCUGUGACGAAGCGUGAGUGACGGUAAUGGGUAAAGAAGCACCGGCUAACUACGUG
rnacentral:rRNA from 1 species